rnacentral:rRNA from 1 species
UACAUGUGGGGCAAGCGUUGUUCGGAAUCACUGGGCUUAAAGCGUGUGUAGGCGGGUCGUUAAGUACCUUGUGAAAUCCCACGGCUCAACCGUGGAACUGCUUGGUAUACUGGCGAUCUUGAGCCACUUAGGGGUUACCGGAACAAACGGUGGAGCGGUGAAAUGCGUAGAUAUCGUUUGGAACGCCAAUGGUGAAAACAGGUAACUGGGAGUGCGCUGACGCUGAGACACGAAAGCCAGGGGAGCGAACGGG